rnacentral:misc_RNA from 1 species
CCGAGCGAGGGCCCCCGGCCCGACCUCCAACCCUUUGUCGUUACAAAACCACUGUUGCCUCGGGGGCGACCCGGGCUUCGAGAGCCCGGGACCCCCGGUGGACCACACCAAAAUGCUGCGUCUGUACGUCGGAUUAUAAGACAAAUGAAUCA